GGAGAGAUGGCAGAGUGGACGAAUGCGGCGGUCUCGAAAACCGUUAUCCCUUCGGGGAUCGGAGGUUCGAAUCCUCCUCUCUCCG
rnacentral:tRNA from 1 species